rnacentral:rRNA from 1 species
UGCUUGCACCUUUCAAGCGAGUGGCGAACGGGUGAGUAACACGUGGAUAACCUGCCUCAAGGCUGGGGAUAACAUUUGGAAACAGAUGCUAAUACCGAAUAAAACUUAGUAUCGCAUGAUACAAAGUUGAAAGGCGCUACGGCGUCACCUAGAGAUGGGUCCGCGGUGCAUUAGUUAGUUGGUGGGGUAAAGGCCUACCAAGACAAUGAUGCAUAGCCGAGUUGAGAGACUGAUCGGCCACAUUGGGACUGAGACACGGCCCAAACUCCUACGGGAGGCUGCAGUAGGGAAUCUUCCACAAUGGGCGAAAGCCUGAUGGAGCAACGCCGCGUGUGUGAUGAAGGCUUUAGGGUCGUAAAGCACUGUUGUAUGGGAAGAAAUGCUAGAAUAGGGAAUGAUUCUAGUUCGACGGUACCAUACCAGAAAGGGACGGCUAAAUACGUGCCAGCAGCCGCGGUAAUACGUAUGUCCCGAGCGUUAUCCGGAUUUAUUGGGCGUAAAGCGAGCGCAGACGGUUGAUUAAGUCUGAUGUGAAAGCCCGGAGCUCAACUCCGGAAUGGCAUUGGAAACUGGUUAACUUGAGUGUUGUAGAGGUAAGUGGAACUCCAUUGGGUAACG